CUCUCUCUCUCAUCAUUAGUUCAUCCCAACUUCAACAAGAUUCUUUACGCAACCUCAAAACCCCAUUAUAAAUCAAGAUCAAACGAGAGUAUGUAUAUCUAGUUAAUUAAGCUGUUUGAACUGAAUUGAAGAGAAGAAGAACUGAAGAAAGAUAUGCGUUCACUGAAGAAGAAGAGAAGAUGUGAAAUGAAACCCUAGCUAGAUAGGUCAAAGGUCAACUCGGUCUUUGAUCACUUUGUUUCUUUGAGUAAUCUAAUGUGGAAUGAAAGCAGAUUGGUCCGAUUGUUUGAUUAGAUCAAACAAACCUUAUCUUUAUUUGCCAUAUUGUAAACAAGUUCAGUUUACUUUUCAUCUGGGCUUCAUGAGAUUUAGCUUCAAGAUUCAGUUCAUCAUGAUGAGGUAUCAUGAUCAUUAUGGUUGGUCUUUUGACCAACUGGCAUUCAUGAUCAACGAGUCAAUCUGAGGGUUUGCGAUUUGCUUUUUAAUUUGUGUAUCUGAACUGCUUUCAUCAAGAUCGCAAAUAUGCUAGUUGCUGGUUGCAGAGCUCGAGAAAGUUGAAAACAAUAAUGGGGUUUGUUAGUUUGUAUGUAUGGAUGAGGUGUGUUCAUCAUUCGUGAAAUAAAAAGGUUGUGUGAUCAUCAUUUGAGG